GUUAGGAAUAUUGGACAAUGGGCGCAAGCCUGAUCCAGCCAUGCUGCGUGCAGGAAGACGCAUCUAUGGUGUGUAAACUGCUUUUGUACGGGAAGAAACACUCCCUCGUGAGGGAGCUUGACGGUACCGUAAGAAUAAGGAUCGGCUAACUCCGUGCCAGCAGCCGCGGUAAUACGGAGGCUCCAAGCGUUAUCCGGAAUCAUUGGGUUUAAAGGGUCCGUAGGCGGGUUAAUAAGUCAGUGGUGAAAGCCCAUCGCUAACCGAUGGAACUGCCAUUGAUACUGUUAUACUUGAAUUACAAGGAAGUAACUAGAAUAUGUGGUGUAGCUGUGAAAUGCUUAGAUAUUACAUGGAAUACCAAUUGCGAAGGCAGGUUACUACUUGUGGAUUGACCCUGAUGGACGAAAGCGUGGGGAGCGAACAGGAUUAGAAACCCUUGUAGUCC
rnacentral:rRNA from 1 species